UUAGACCAAAAUUAAAAAAAAAAAAUAUCGAAAUUAUGUAUUAUGAUCCAAAUGACGAAAGAUCUUUUAUUUACUUUGUCAAAUUUCCGCUAUUAAAUCAAAAAUUUGCCGUAGGUUGCCAAAAUUUACGAUCAGCAAGUCUUGUCGAUUUAAUUCACCUCGCUAAAGAUGUGGCCGAACGAACGAGUUACUUGUAUACGGAGGAUCCCAUAGUGUUCUGCCUUGACAUCAGUAAAAUUAUUACGGAUGAUACGUCAUUGGCUUAUUGUGUAUCUAAAGGGUAUACAUUUCAAAUCCUAAAUGGCAUAAAUGAGGCAAACACUAUGAAGAAUGAGAGCCGAAUGAUUUACAACACGACUUUAACAUUUAGCAGAACCAAGAAUCAAGGAACUUGAUUAUACAAGUUACUCAAAAUUUCACCUGGAACUCAACUGUCAUUUAAAAAAUAAUUUAUUUAAUAAAUUAUCGAAAUUUUUGCGUGAGAAAUGUAUUAUAAUCCAAGUGAUGAAAGAGCUUACACUUAUUUUGUUAAGUUACCAAUGGUUGAACAGAAAUUUGCUAUGGGUUGUAAAAAGUUGGGCUUAGCUCACAUGGAUGAUAUUACCAAAUUAGCUAAUGAGGUUGGCAAAGUCACAAAAUUCGUUUAUUCUAAUGAGCCAGCAAUAUAUUGUUUUGAAAUGGACAAAGUUAUUGCCAACAACGAUGCACUGCGCUAUUGCAUAUCAAAAGGAUAUCAUUUUGAGGUUCUAAAUGGCAUUAGGGGAUUAUGAAUAAUCAAUAGAAUAUCAUCAUAGGCUAAAUCCAUCCAGAUUCAAACAAUUGUAAGCAUAAUUUUCAAUCAAAACAUUAAUUUAACAUAGAGUAAACUUUAAAAUUAAAGGUGAUCACUAAUAACUGAUUAA